rnacentral:lncRNA from 1 species
CAGAUCUUGGAAUAUGGGAAAUGGACCAAGGAGAAGCCUUAAAGAAUGGACAAGUACAUUCUAGCAGCUUGUGUAGUCUACAUAAAGAAAAGGGCUCUCAGAUCUCAUCGGCUCACUUCAAUAACCAGGCCUGAGUGUCUAUUCCAUGCUAGGCACUGGGCCUUUAGUCAACAGGGCAGAAGGAACUUCAUGAGCAAAACUCAGAGGGUCCUCGCUGAUCUCUGAAAAUCCGCUGUGUGCUGCUCACAUUUUCAGACUUAGCAAUGCUGAUGAGACACUUUCUAGAGAUCCACGGCAAACAGGAGGGAGAAACUAGCCCCAGGCAGACAUCCCCAUGUUUGGUGUCACCUCCAGGUGCUACAGAAGAACGGCUGCAGCAAGGACAAUUGAUCCACUGGGUCAAGGUAGUGGUGUUCAUGUUCUUUCUGAAUGUGCAGCACUUGCUGACAAUGCUGGGCUGGUGCCGGAGAGCCAACUGGUUCUUUCCAUCAUUCCUCCCACUGGUGGACUUGGACGGCCCCAGAGCCCUGUGACCCAGCUUGAAGAGCCACCCCCUAGCUGCUGGAUCCUGAAGUCCCUGCCACUGUGAACUGCAGUGUACAAAUCAGGUGACCCUAUUUAACCUGGCAAUGAAAGGUCUUGGCAGCAGAAGCAGAGCAGUAUGGGUUGGUACAUAAACACAGGAAUUUUAAAAAAAGGCUCAUACCAGUUUGAAAAGAGCAGGUAGAAUCCAUCAAAAAGGCAAAAUCUAAAACUAGCAGGAAGAGCUGUCUCCCAUCGUGUGAGAGGGACUGCCAACAAAGAUUUUGUUCAAAUAAGAGAAUUAUUAAGAAAUAGAUGACCAAGAACUUUUAAAAUCAAUGACGGAUGUUUGUUUUCCAG